ACUAUUAUGGAAUAUUUAUUUACAAGAAGCGAGUCUCUUGUAAUCAAUGAUCAUUACAAAAAAUUGAUCAUUGAUGUGACAACAACUACUCAUGCUGCGUCAAGCUUUACUGCAUUUUUGUGUACAAGUCCAGAUGAGGCAGUUCAAUUAUCCAAAGACAUGACUAACAAUUAUAAAAUACAUAAUCUACAAAAUAAUUUUAAAAAUUAUGAAUUUUCUGUUGACAAUAAUCAAGUUGCUCAUCAAUUAUUUUACAUUGUUGAUUUUCAGUGUGAGGACUCAGUCAACCUGUUAAUCAAGGCAAAUUUAAGUCAAAUGUUUUUAGCUCCAAGAAAAUGGUUAAUUCUUCAAGAUCUUACAAAUUCAACAUCGAAAUUAUCACAGAAUAAAUUGAUAAAUUUAUUCAAUGAUUUUGAUGUUUAUCCAGACAGUGAAGUUUAUAUAGCUCAGGGAUAUCAAAGUAAAAUAAAUAAUAGCAUUGAAUUAUUAUCGUUAUAUCGUCCAAGCCCUUAUCGAAAUAUUGUUAUUGAAAAUCGUGGUAUUUGGGAUGAACAAAAUGGUCUUCGGCUUAAUAAUCAUGAUCCAUCUUCAAGAAGACGAAGAAAUCUUCAACAAACACCUUUGAAAUCUUGCCUUGUGGUUACAAACCCAGAUACACUGAAUCACUUGACUGACGCAAAGGAUAAAUUUGUUGAUACGAUAACUAAAGUCAAUUAUCCAUGGAUACUUCAUAUUGUCAAUCGUAUUAAUGCAACCAUAAAUUUUACCGUUCGUGAUACAUGGGGAUAUCAAGAUGAUAAUGGCUCUUGGAGUGGUAUGAUUGGCUUGCUUGAUCGUGGAGAAAUUGAUAUUGGAGGAACAGCAACAUUUUUGGUUUCAUCACGAAUUGGUGUUGUCGAUUAUGUUCAACUUUACACACCAACAAAAUCAAAAUUUAUAUUUCGACGACCACCAUUGUCGUACGUCAGAAAUUUAUUUACACUUCCAUUUAGUAGAUCUGUUUGGAUGACUAUAAUUAUUUUUUUGAGCUUAGUUUGUCUUAUAUUGUACAUCACUAUGAAAUGGGAGACAAAACAUAUUUGUGAAAAUCAUUUAGCUGUAGUUCAGUACUCAGUUGACUGGAAUCCAAAUCCAGCGAUAAGUGAUAAUUUUUUAGUAAUUCUUGGAGCUGUUUCUCAACAAGGUUUCUUCUAUGAGGCUAAAAUGAUAUUUGUUGUUGAUUUAUGCACUAAGUUUAUAUGCUGCCUACUCUGCAAAUAUUGUUGCAAAUAUUCAACGAACAAGUGAUUCAAUACAAACAAUAAGUGAUCUUAUGGACAGUUCAUUGAAAAUUGGUAUACAUGACAUUGUGUACAACCGUUAUUACUUUAAGAAAUUAGAUGACCCAGUGAGAAAAAAAUUUUAUGAUACCAAGGUCAAAGACAAAACACUGAAAAUGUUGUCACAAAAACAAGCUGAAGGUGAUGGUGGGUGUGAAGGAAAUGAGGAUGGAUCAGUAACACCAAGUGGUAUAUCAAAUGGUGAAGGAUCUAAGGAAUUUUUAUCGACUGGUAGAACUGGAAGGAGAAAUGCUAUGCCAGAUAUUUUAGGACGAAAUGCCAAGACUGGAACAGCUGAUUUAUCAACACGUCUUGAGGCACUUACCACUGAUUCCGAGCAAGUUGUCUUAUUUGAAAGACAACAAAAAAAAAAAAAUAAUACAAUAUUUGUAUCUAUGUUUGUUUGA